rnacentral:lncRNA from 1 species
AGGAGGCAGAAGUGGAGGCCAAGGAUCGGGGAUUGUUCGAUUUCUUAAAGAAGAAGGAUGAAGACGAGAGGCCUCAAGAGGAGGUGAUCGUCACUGAGUUCGAGAAGGUUCAGGUCUCUGAACCCGAGCCCAAGAUCGAGGAGCCCCUAAGGAAGAAGAGGAGAAGAAGCAUUCUCUCUUAGAGAAGCUUCACCGAUCUGACAGCAGCUCCAGCUCCGUAAGUUCCAUUUAUAUAUUUUCUAUGUUGUAGUUAUAUUAUAAUAUUGGAAGAUUUUUUAAAUCAGCAUGACUCUGCUUGCGGUGUCACGGAAACUUUAAGUGUUCAUAGUCGCGAUCCGUAGAAUUAAUGUAUUAGCGGUUGAUCUGAGACCUUGUACGAUUAAUUGAAUGGUAAGUACGCUUCUAAUGGCUUUCCAAAUUUUGCAGUCCAGCGAUGAGGAAGAAGGUGAAGGAGAGGAGAAGAAGAAAAAAAAGAAGAAGGGUCUGAAAGAGAAGAUCAAGGAAAAGAUCUCAGGAGAAAAGGAAGAAGAGAAGAAAGAAGAGGACACCACAAUCCCUGUUGAGAAAGUUGAGGAGCCCGCUGCCCAUCCUGAAGAGAAGAAAGGAUUCCUUGAGAAGAUCAAGGAAAAACUUCCAGGCCAGCACAAGAAAUCUGAAGAGCCGGCCUCCCCUCCUCCUCCGGCAGAGAGUGCAGCCCCCGAGCCUGAGAAGAAGGGCAUCUUAGAGAAACUCAAGGAGAAGCUUCCUGGGUAUCACUCCAAGACUGAGGAAGCUGACAAGGAGAAGAAAGAGACGUCAGAUUAAGAAUUACAAGAUCUCAUGUUACUUUUUGAGUUAUGAUCGUUGUGUGGUUUAUUUAGUGUUCAAUUUUUUUUUUUUUUUUUUUCUGUUUCCUUCCUUGUGGGAUUUUCAGGUUCAUAUAUAAGCAUUAUAUACAGAGAUGCUUGAUAUACGUGCUUAUAUAUAGGCUUGUUUACUGAAUUACUAUGCAUGUUUUGGGGGAAGAAGGUCAAUCAUCCUCUGCUUCUAUGAUUCGAAAAGUGUUAUCAAGAGAUUUCUUUGCUUGUAAAUCUGAAGCUAUGAUUUCUAACUUCAUGCUUUCUUUCUUCAGCCUGCGAGUGAUUAUACUUUCUGGCCCCAUAUCGACCCUCUCUGUUGACACUCGAUUAGGGGCGAAUGUUCAUGAUUUUGAUUUAUUAACAAUAAAAUAAUUUGUGAUUUAUAUAAUCAUUACAAAAAAUAUUUAUUAUUAUAUAUUAUUAAUUAGAAUAAUAAUUUGUUUUUCAGGUCUCAAAUCAAUUUUAAAAAAGUUAGGUUCGAUUAUUUGGAUAAUAAUAUAUUCAUUUAAAAUAUCAUUAUAAACUACUUAAUUAUGAUUUUUUUAUAAUAAUAGAUUCCAUUAUAAACAUAUUACUAAAUUAUUUUAACUUAUAUAUUAUUCUAUAUUAAUUAUGAUUAUUUAAAUAAUAAUAAUUAUCGUAAUAAAAAAUUAAUAACAUAUUCUGCAUAUUCUGAUUCAAACAUAUUCUGCAAGAUUAAAUUUGAAUAUGAUUUAAUUAGAAACUUAUAUUUUAAUGAUUAAAUAUAUUCGCUAAUAACUUUAUGAGUGUGAUUAACAAAAAAUUUAAUUAAAUUAAAAUUUAAAUUGUGUAAUAGUAUCUUUUUAAUAUAAUAUAUAAUUAGGUGUGAUAAUUUUAAAAUUACGUGAAAUAAAUAAUAAUAAUAAUAAUAAAGUAAAUAUCGCAUAUACUUAAUUGGCCACUUAAGCAUAUAAUAUAUGAUUGGAUGUGAUAACUUUAAAAUUACGUAAAAUAAAUAAUAAUAAUAAAGUAAAUAUCGCAUAUGCUUGAUUGGCCGCUUAAGCAACAUAAUAACACAUGCCAAUCGAUAAAAGCACGCCUUGUCAACCUUCACAUUCGCGGAGCAAACUAAGAAUAUCUCAUCUCAUUGGCAACCCAACAAAAAUCCUUCUCAUAUUUUCUUAAAUAUUUUACACAACAAUGCAAUUUCGAUUCUCUUCACCACUAAAUACUAAGAAAUCAUUGUCUAGUAAAAUCCAACAAUGAGUAUCUACUUUUUUAAGUCUAUGAACCAACUCCAUAUAUGCUAUAUAUAUAUGUAUGUUAUAUGGGCUAGAUGAAAUGGUGUGACUAAGCAAAAAUGUGGAGAAGUGGCGUGCUUAUAGCUUUUGGGUUUAUAGUUGGUCUGAUUAUAAGAUUCACAAAUGGAGAGCACUUGAUUGGAUUGGGAAGCUAUGAUAUGACUGGUCCAGCCGCUGGGGUAAACAUGAUGGGUUAUGCCAAUAUGGAACAGGUCACCGCCGGUGUCCAUUUCCGGCUUAGAGCCAGGACUUUCAUUGUGGUCGACGGCAUCCAAGGUCCUAGAUUUGCUUUUGUUAACCUUGAUGCUGGCAUGGCUUCACAGCUUGUCACAAUUAAAGUGCUUGAGAAACUCAAAUCAAGGUACAACUACAAUACAAAUAAAUAGUCAGAACUAGCUAACUCAUCUUAUUAUUACUUGGGUUUUUUUUGAAAAAAAAAAAAAAAAUUAAUAGGCCAUGUUUAUGGAAUCUUGUAUUUGAAAAUUAAUUGAAGGUAUGGGAAUUUGUAUACUGAGAAAAAUGUGGCUAUAAGCGGCAUCCACACUCAUGCUGGUCCUGGAGGUUACUUGCAGUACUUGGUUUAUUCUAUAACCUCUCUUGGCUUUGUCAAACAAUCAUUUGAUGCAAUUGUGACGGCUAUUGAGCAGAGUAUUAUUCAGGCUCAUAACAAUCUCAAGCCCGGUUCAGUUUUCAUCAACUCAGGUAUGAUUUAAUUCCGAUAUCUAUUGGGUUUCUUCUUCGUUUUUCUGGCGCUGUCAUGUUAUAGUAAUCUGCAGGGGAUGUGGAAAAUGCGGGGAUAAACAGGAGUCCCAGUGCGUAUCUCCUUAACCCAGCAGAAGAAAGAGCGAGAUAUAAAUUCAAUGUGGAUAAAGAAAUGACCCUUUUGAAAUUUGUCGAUGGUGCAACCCAGAAGAGUAUAGGAGCUUUUAGUUGGUAUGCAACGCAUGGGACCUCCAUGAGCAGAGACAACAAGCUUAUCAGUGGAGACAAUAAGGGUGCAGCUGCUAGAUUCUUCGAGGACUGGUUUGCUUCCAUCACCAACUCUGCAUCUCCACCAGUCGGUGACGCAUCUGCUCAAGGUUAGUUAUCGAUCAGAAACAGAGUUAAUUGGGAGCUUAAUAAAAUUUUAGUCUCUACUCAUUUUAUUGUGUCUAUCACACAUGGGAAUGUUGAUAGAGAAAGCGAAAGCAAUCAAAGCAACAGGAGGACAACCGUGUGGUAAAACUACAAGCCAAAGCUUUAAGGUGAGAAAGAAUGGCGAAGGGUCAAGAUUUGUAGGAGCAUUUUGCCAAUCAAAUGUUGGAGAUGUAACACCAAAUGUGCUCGGAGCAUUUUGCACAGAUAGCGGGAAACCCUGUGAUUUUAAUCACUCUUCCUGUCAUGGCAAUGACCAGCUUUGCGUUGGCCGAGGACCUGGGUAUUUAUAGUCAUUCCACACAGAACUUUUGUCAAACACAUAACGGGUUUUGCUACGUUAAUUGGAUCAUGAUCUUUCUUUUGACAGAUACCCAGAUGAAAUAUUGAGCACAAAAAUCAUUGGGGAGAGGCAAUUUCAAAAGGCUGUUGAUUUAUUCAACUCUGCUACUAAGGAAUUGAGCGGCAAAAUCGAUUUUCGCCAUGUAUAUCUAAACUUCACCGAUAUUGAAGUGGAUAAAGAUGGAAAUACCAAAGCCAAGACUUGUCCUGCAGCUCUUGGUCCAGGUUUCGCCGCCGGGACUACUGAUGGGCCUGGUGCCUUCGGGUUUCAACAAGGCGACACAGAGGUGAAUACCAAAUUUCAUUCCUCGUAGACCCAUUUGCUUAAUUUUUUGAAAAUACUAAUACGUUUAUAUGACUUCAAGAUCAAUGAGCUAUGGAGAAAAGUGAGGGACUUGUUGAAAGAACCCAGCCAAUAUCAAGUGGACUGCCAAAAGCCCAAGACCGUUUUGCUUGACACUGGCGAAAUGUUUGUUCCUUACGCAUGGGCGGUAAGGAAUGCUACAAAAACUUCUCCAAAACAAGAUUAUCUUUUAAUUUCUAACUGAAAUCUAUGUUGAUGCAGCCAGCAGUUCUUCCAAUCCAGAUACUGAGGCUGGGAAAACUGAUCAUAUUGUGUGUCCCAGGAGGUUUUCUUUCUUUUCUCCCUUAUAAUAAAUUGAUUUCCCAUUCUGAUAAUUUCUUAUAUACAUAAAAACAAUUCAUUUUCUCAGUUCAUUAACAAAUCAAAUCCUCAAUACACAGAAGAAUGUUAAUCCAUGCAUGAUAGUAAUAUGUAACAUUAGUUGCAUGUUUUUGUGACUACCAAGCUCUAAAAGAAUGGGUUUGUUGAGACUUGCAGAGUUUACAACAAUGGCUGGUCGGAGACUGAGGGACGCAGUUAAGCAGACACUGAUCAGUAAUGGAGAAGGAGAAUUUGAUGAUGAGACUCGCGUUGUAAUAGCUGGCCUUACAAACACUUAUUCACAGUAUAUAGCCACUGUUGAAGAAUACACACAACAGAGAUACGAGGUAAUUAAAACAUGCAUCAUACUACAAUCCCCAUUAAAAACAAGAAGUUUUAAACUGUUGGUAGUUAAAAAUCACAAUAAAUUUUGCAGGCUGCUUCAACACUCUAUGGACCACAUACACUAUCUGCAUACAUUCAAGAAUUUAGUAAACUAGCAAAAGCAAUGGCACAAGGAACCACCAUUGAAACAGGCAUCUCGCCACCCGACCUUUCAUCAGUCCAACUGAGCCUCUUACCUGAACCCUCUGGAGACUCACCUCCACCGGGCAAAAAAUUUGGUGACAUCAAACAAGAUGUGAGUUCUGGUUCGUUCAAGAAAGGAGACAUAGUAAGCGCUACAUUUUGGAGCGCUAAUCCCAGAUACGAUCUGUUAACAGAAGGAACAUUUGCGGUGGUAGAGAAGCUUCAAGAUCUUCGUUGGAUUCCAGUCUAUGACGAUGAUGAUUUUGACUUAUAUUUCAAAUGGGGAUUAGAUAACGCUACAUUUUUUGGCUUAGCAACAAUUGAAUGGCAAGUGACGGAGGAGGCUACUUCUGGGCUUUAUCGUCUUAGACACUUUGGUUCAUCCAAGAAAACGAACUCCUCUCCCAUCAAAUACUUUACUGGCACAUCCAGUGCCUUCACAGUGUCAUAGUUACAUUUGGAGCUUGUUUUAUUAGGAAAAGAGUGCAAAAAUUUUCAACUUUACUUGAACAUUCAAAUCAUUAGAUAAUGUCAUAGAUGAUAUUGACAAUAAACAAACAUGAGUUAUAACUCUUUGAAAAAAGAAAAUUGUUACUGCAAUAAAAAUAACUUAUAAUAACGAAUAUUUUUAACCAUAGAUGAGAUUAGUUACUUAAGCUAAACAUAUACGGAUUCAACUGUUGUAGACGAAUGUUUAUACUGCUGGAAUCUGCAUUCACUUACGAAUUAAACUAUAAAUCUCAUAAGAUAGCCCAUUAAACCAAAGCCCCCUUUGUCUCUUCCAUAGAAAUUCAAAUGUAAUUCUAGUUCUUCUCUUUGUUUCUUCACUUAAAAGUUCAAACAGCCUCGUAUCAUUAACAGAUGUCCAUUGAAUAAAACCCAUUAAACCAAAGCCAAUAUAACAUAAAACAAAAAUACCCUUUGUCUCUUCCAAGAAUUCAAACAUAAUAUCUGAGUUUUCUCUUUGUUCUUUCAAUGGAGAUUCAGAUAGCUGCUUCUUUGUUAUUAUUCUUCGAGCUACAAAUGCGCAGGCCUCCACCAUUGAAAUAACAUCUCUUUCUUUUCUUCUUUUUUUUUUUCUAUCUUUUGCUUCGAGCUUCUUCUUAUCCUGAGCUAUGUUGAAUUCUUUAGUUUUAUGUAAUCUUGUUUAUUCUUAUUCUUUAAGAUUAUCCGCUCACAGCCAUGCCUCUUGUUGCUACGUUUUUUGUCAAUUCAACUUGACAUUUUAUUUGAAAUUUUUGGAGACUUUUCCACUUCGAGUAAAACUUUUAUAAUAUAAAACGAGAUAUCAAAAUGCAGUUCAUUCAAGAAAAGUGGUAUACCCAGUGCUACAUAUUGGAAUACUAGCUCAAUAUGUAACUUAAUACAGAAACCAUGUUUUUCAUUGUGCAUGAGCUUCAAGGCAAUCAGAUUUUAGUGGCACUGGUGAUGGCGGUUUUCACUUUUAUUUACGGAAGAGAAUAGAUAACACUAUAUUGUAUGGCUUAACAACCAUUAAAUAGUAAGUGGCUAAAGAGACUACCUUCAGGGAUUAUUGGCUUAGACAUUUUGCCUCAUUUUAGAAACCGCAAGGAUGAGUUUUUAAACAUCUUGUGUAUCCAAAAUAUCAUAGCUAUAAAGUAGACAAUUAAACGCAAGGAGCUUGUUUUAUUGCCAAUAAUAUAAAACCAUCAUUCUUUUCAAUCCAACAUUCAAAUAAAUAGUGUUCGGGCUUAUUUAUCCAUCCAAAUUACACAUCGGAUGCACUCGCCUUUAAGCAGCAAAUCAAAUGCUUUGUUGAUCUCUUCGAACUUAACCUCAUGUGUAACGAACUCAUCAAGAUGCAGUUCCUGAAAUGAUUUUCAUAAAAACUGUCAAUAGGAUUUAAUGUAUGUAUAAAAGAAAGUGAUCAAGUGAAAGAAUGUUACCUUGUUCAAGUAAUGAUUGAUAAGAACCGGAAUAUCUGAUUUCGCUUUGAUUCCUCCAUACAGACAUGCUGUUAUGGUUUUUGUGCUUUGAAGAAACUCCAUGGAGUUGAACUUCAACUCCGAGUCUGGCUUAUCCAAUCCCACCAUAAUUGUCUUUCCCCAACCCUGAUCUUCCACAAAGAUUACAUGAUAGAUUAUUAUUAGCUUACCAGAUGAAUUACAAUCAUUCUCAUACGAGUCAUGAAUUAAAUUUUCCAGGUUACACAAUAAAACUAGAGUGAUAGUCUGAGAGAGACCUUUCUAGAACUAGCAUAUGCUUCUUGCACCAACGAUGCUCUACCAACGCAUUCAAAACAGUAAUCAGCACCUCCACCGGUCAUCUCUUGGAUCACCUACGUACUCGACAAAAGAAAUGAGAAAGGUUAUUAGUGAUUUGAUUCAUGAAGGUCUAUACUAUAUGCUUUAUCACAAGUUAUUUGAAACAUUAUGUUUACUAAGACAUUUCUCAACCAUCUUGUUAUACUCUAUUCAAGAAAUAAAGAGAAAUGCAGGAGGAAUACUCACCUGGCUUACGGACUUAUCUCCACAGUCCUUUGGAUUUACAAAUUCAGUAAUACCAAACUUUUUGCCUACAUGAAAUACAAAUAUAAAAUCAACCGAAAAUAAGUAUCAUGUGUUUUUUAACGUCUGGGGGAAUAGAAAAGUAAUUUCGAGCACAUAUAUAUAUAUAUAUAUAUGUUAACUGACCAACUUCAAAUUUUUCUGGGUUCACAUCGACACCUAUUAUUUUGGUAGCACCGCAGAGUCGUCCUCCCUCAGCAACCUAAAAUACCACCAUAGAGGAAAGUAAUUUACAUAUUUUAUACACAAUAAUAUUACACAUGAAAGUACAUAAUAAGAAGUAAAACAAUUUAAAUAAUAAAGAAGAAUUGCAAGAGAAUACCGCUAGUCCAACUGCUCCUAACCCAAAUAUAGCAAUGGUUGAUCCUGCCUCCACUUUUGCUGUUUUCCAAGCAGCACCAAUCCCUGAAACACAACAUUUUAUUGGUUAUUGACUACUAGUUUAGUAGCUAGCUAAGUAAGUGUAAUGUUGACAUAUAAAUCUUUGAUAGAUUUACCUGUCGAAACUCCACAACCAAGGAGACAUGCUAAAUUUGGAGGGAUAACAGGGUCAAUCUUUGUUACAUGGGCAAUGUCUACAACAGUGUACUCGCUAAAACUCGACACAUUUGAGAAGUGAAAUAAAGGUUGUCCAUCAAGAUCUGAGAAUCUACUUGUUUCAUAUCUAGGCAUCCAAGGAGUGGUUUUGAAAGGAACACCUGAACAAAGAUUACUUUUAUCUGAUUUACAAUCCAUGCAAUUCUCACAAUUUGGUAUAAAUACUGGGAUAACAGUAUCUCCUUCCACCACUUCAUUUACAUAUUCUCCAACGCUCUCCACAAUCCUGAAACAUGAUCAAGGAAGCUUUAUUUCCAACACUUUAAGAAUUACAUAUAUAUAUAUAUAUAUAUGAGAAACCUCUGAUGAAAAAGUUAUGAGAAUUAAAAAAAGAACAUAUAAUAGAUAAUCUUUAAUUUUUACGUAAAAAAUCAUUAUUGAAAAAAUACUGCAUAACUAAACAAGACAAAGAAAUAUGAAAAUCAGAUUUUCUUCAUUAUGUAUUCGUACUUUUUUAAUGACAAAGAUAGACUUUAAUUUUUGUUAUAUAUAUAUAUAUGUGUAUAUUUAAACAUAAUGUAAACUAAACACAAAAAAGAAAAAAGGAUGUAAACGACAAUGUAACUCACCCGAUAGCUUCAUGGCCGAAGAUCGUUGGAAAGUAACUGGCCUUUAAACACAUAAUACAAGCGCAAACAAAUAUAAAUUGAUAAGUUAAUUCUUCAGUCCAGAUUAUAUAUAUAUAUAUGACUUACGUAUAUAUGUAUAGACAAACCAUAUAUGUAUAUUAGAGAAAGAGAUUUAGCGAGACCUUCAUCCUCCAAAAGCUUAUGUCACUCAAGCAAAGAGAGGUGCAAAUUAUCUUGAUCCGAACCUCGUGAGGACUAGGCGGAGCUACCAUGAUCUCCUCCAUGAUUAGAGGCGUCCCUGCUUCGCGACAUACGGCAGCUAUAGUUUGUUCAUGCAAAGUGAACAAAUAAAUCCUCUCAAAUUAAAUCAUCAAAAAGAGAAUAGGAAACUAGUAGAAUAAACUAAUGAAACUUAGAUCAUUACCUCUGCAUCGAAUUGGUUUCCCAGCGGUUUUGUUUCCAGAAUCCAUGAGGAAAGCAGAUGAAAAAACUCACUAGUACAAAGUAUGAUGAAUAUGGUUGAUGGGGGUUGGCGGUGAAAGACAAAGGAGCCAUAGUAUUUAUAAUUAAACUAAAUAUGCUUCCUCAUGAGCUACCAUAAAUGACUGCUAAUUCUAGGGUGAAUAAUGUAUUUAAUCUUGGCCUUUUGAAUUUGAAAACUUAUUGACUGCUAAUUCUAGGGUGAAUAAUGAAUAAAUGAUCAUAACUCUCUGUCAGUCCCUAGUGGAUAAAUUUACUUAGUAAUUAAUUGAUUUUCAUUUGAUGCGGUGAUUUUAGACUAUUAUAAAUUCAAUAUCAAUAAAUGAACGUAACUCAUUUGACUUUUUGAAUUCGAAAAUUUAUUAAUGGUCAAUUAAAUUUCAUUUGAUACAUUGAUUUUAGAGUAUUAUAAAUUUAAUAUCAAUAAAUGAUUGUAACUCACUGUUCUUAAAUAGAUAAUGUAGUAAUCUUUGACUUUUUGAAUUUAAAAAUUUAUUGGUGGUUAAUUGACUCUGAUUUGAUACACGAUUUUAGAGUAUUAUAAAUUUAAUAUCAAUAAAUAAUGAAACUCAUGUCAGUCCCUAAAUAGAUGAUAUAAUAAUCUUGACUUUUUGAGUUUAAAAAUUCAGUAUCAAUAAAUGAUUGUAACUCACUGUAAGUCCCUAGGUGAAUACCGUUGUAAUUUUGACUUUUUGAAUUUGAAAAUUUAUUGGUAGUUAGUUGACUCUCAUUUGAUAUAUUAAUUUUAGAGUAUUAUAAAUUCAGUCUCAAUAAAUUAACAUAACCGGCUACCUGUUCCUAUGUGGAUAAUGUAGUAAUCUUAACCUUUUGAAUUUGUAAAUUUACUGAUGGUUAGUUAACUUUUAUUUGAUACAUUAAUUUUAGAGUAUUAUAAAUUCAGUCUCAAAAAAUCAUCAUAACUGCUUACUAAUCCCCAUAUAAAUAAUAGAGUAAUUUUAACCUUAUGAAUUUAGAAAUUUAUUGUGGUUAGUUGACUCUCAUUUAGUACAUUAAUUUUAUAGUAUUAUAAAUUUUGUCUCAAUAAAUUACCAUAACUGGUUACUAGUCCUUAGGUGGAUAAUAUAGUAAUAUUGACCUUUUAAAUUUAGAAAUUUAUUAGUAGUUAAUUGACUCUCAUUUGAAACAUCGAUUUUAAAGUAUUAUAUAUUCAGUCUUAAUAAACUAAUAUAAUUGGCCGCUAGUCCCUAGGUGUAUACUGUAGUAAUCUUAACGUUUUGAAUUUGUAAAUUUAUUAGUGUUUAAUUGACUCUCAUUUGAUACUUUAAUUUUCGAGUAUUAUAAAUUCAGUCUCAAUAAAUUAUCAUAAUUGUCUGCUAGAUCAUAGGUAGAUAAUGUAAUAAUCUUUACCUUUUGAAUUUAGAAACUGAUUCUCAUUGAUACAUAANNNNNNNNNNNNNNNNNNNNNNNNNNNNNNNNNNNNNNNNNNNNNNNNNNNNNNNNNNNNNNNNNNNNNNNNNNNNNNNNNNNNNNNNNNNNNNNNNNNNNNNNNNNNNNNNNNNNNNNNNNNNNNNNNNNNNNNNNNNNUAAAUUCAGUCUCAAGAAAUUAUCAUAAUGUCUGCUAGUUCAUAGAUGGAUAAUAUAGUAAUCUUGACCUUUUGAAUUGAAAAUUUAUUAGUAUAUAGUUGACUCUCAUUGAUACAUUAAUUUAGAGUUUUAUAAAUUCAGUAUCAAUGAUUCCUAUAUGGAUAAUGUAGUAAUUUGACCUUUUGAAUUUAAAAAUUUAUUGGUGGUUAGUUGACUGUCAUUUUAUACAUUAAUUUCAGAGUAUUAUAAAUUCAGUCUCAAUAAACUAACAUAAGUGGCUGCUAGUCUGUAGAUGAAUAAUAUAAUAAUCUUAGCCUUGUAAUAUUGAGAAAUACAUCAUCUAUAUUGAGAUAUAUAUUUAAAUAUAUUUGAAAAUUUAUUGAUAGUUAGUUGGUUCUCAUUGGACACAUUAUUUAGACUAUUACAAAUUUAAUCUCAUAAGUUAUCAUAACUGUCCGCUAGUUUUCAGGUGGAUAAUAUAAUAGUCUUUAUCUUAUGAUAUCGAGAAAUAUAUCAUUUAUAUUGACUUAUAUAUUUAGAUAUAUUUAAAAAUUUAUUAGUUAUUAAUCGACUCUCAUUUGACAUAUUGAUUUUAUUCUAUUACAUAUUCAAUUUAUAAAAAGUGACAAAAUUGAUUUGUAGCUUUAAAAACCACACUAUUGCUUAGUCUAUAAAUUAAUAAACCAAAAACUCAACAUUACAUUCAACACUUCAGGAAUCUCAUUACCACUCGUGAUAAGAUGGAAAGCAUAUGAGUAUACGAAUUCAAUUAAGUCAUGAAAUAAAGUCAAAUUCUUUCUUUCUUUUUUUUCCCUUCACCUACAAAGGGAAAAAAAUGGCCUAUUACUCGUAUUUAAGUCAAUGUCUCCAAAUGAAGGUAGAUGUAAAACUCUUUAUGUAAACGAAUUGACUUAUCCCGUAAAAUGUGAAUACAUUGCUUCAAAGGGUCAUGCAAGAAUUUUCUUUCCUAUAGAUAUAUUACAUAUUGAUAUCUUAUUUUCUAUAAAGAAGAGUCCUAAUAUCAUCAAUCAUAAUCAUAUAUUAUGUACAAAAUUCUAUACGAACAAAAUUAGUGUAACCAUAUUAAUAGAAGUGUCUAACUACAUUUUUAUCUUCAAUUUAAAUUUUUUAAGGUUAACAAAGGCUUUGGUUUCUCAUAUUAGCCAAAUAAUUAGAGGAAAUUAUCCUAAUUAACAAUAAAUGUCAAAUUUAUCGAAUCCCAAAUAAAAAAUUUAAAUGAUCAAAUUAUAAUAAAAAAAAUAUUAAAUAUCAAAUUAUAAUAAAUGUCAAAUUUUAAUGAUUAAUUCAUUAAUUUACUCUAAAUUUUUUAAAUAACUUCUAAAAAAAUUGACUUUACAACAAUAAAAAUAGAGUAUCGUAUCAACUUCUUUACAAGAGAAUUAUUUUUAUUGAAUAAAAUCAUCAUCAAUUCCAUCAAAUUAAUGUAAAAACAUAAUUAUGUGAUAUAAUAAGUGUAUAAAUAAAUACCAAUAGUUAUGUUUGAGUCGGCCACUUCCCAUCAAAUUUUUCCUUCCAUAGAACACAACGAGUGCACUUUCCUUCACUAAGCAAAUCAAAGGCUUUGUUGAUAUCUUCGAAUUUCAUCUCACGUGUAAUGAAAUUUUCAAGUUCAAAUUCCUAAAAGAAUUACCAAAAAUCAUAUCAACAAAUAAUUACAUAUGUUAGAUAAUUAAUUGAAUUGAAAUCGAAGAAAUUAGUACGUAUAAAGUAGCAUCAUAAGACUAUUCUAAAACAUACGCUACAUUUAGAAUAUAAAAGAAUUUCUUAAUAUAUAUUUUUUUCUAUACUGGUAUAUAUUUAUAUAUAAAGAAGACACCAAAAUGUUUUCAAUAAAAAAAAAAAGAAACUAAAACGUUACCUUAUUCAAAUAACGAUUUAGAAGAAUGUGAAUAUCGUAUUUAACUUUGAUACCUCCAAACAAAGACCUAAUUAGUUUUUUUCCAUCCCGUAUAAGUUCGUAAAAGUUUAAGAUCAAUUGUGACCCCGAUUUAUCUACACCUACUACAAUUGUCUUUCAACAAUCUUGAAUUACAAAAAUUUUAAGAUAAUUAUUAAAAAUAUUCUUACUAUUAAUAGUUAGAAUAUUUUUAAAUCAAUUUUUAGACGUUAAGAUUAAAUUUCUUUCAAUUCUAAUAAAAUAUAUGUUAUUUAUAUUUAAACUAGAAAAUUUUCAAUAAAUAUCUCAUAUAAAUAUGUUAUUUUAUACAAACACAUAUACUAACAAGCGUAUUAUGAACAAAUCAUAUAAUACCCAAAAAUAAAUAAAUUUCAAUAAAUAUCUCAUAUAAAUAUAUUAUUUUAAGCAUAUACAUAUACUUGCAAGUUUAUCAUGAACAAAUCACAGAAUACAAGGAAAUAAACAUCAUGAUAUCACCAGCUAGUCAUCCUGUAGAAUUGAAAAUUUAUGGAUUAGCAAUUAUGUAAAGUUAGUUUCAUGCAUUUAACUGUUGCCUCAGCAUUAUACAGUGUUUUACCUUCAAAGCUUUAACUAUACAUGCUUAUAAACCUUACCAUGACAUGUAUAUGUAAGUUCGUGCCACCAAUAUGCAUAUAAAGUGCUGUAUAAAAUUUUGGGAAACGUAUGUAAUUUUCAUAUAUAAUCACAGUUAUAGCCUAAAAUAUCAUUGAAGUAAGAGUAAUAUAACACACCAGCAAAUUCAGAGAAGUAAAAAAAACCUUUUUGCAGCAAGCAUAUGCUUCGUGCACCAAGGUAAAGCAGCAGUCUGCACCACGAUCACCAGUCAUAUCCAAGAUUACCUAUUCAACCACAUUAAACAAGCUAGUUAGUUCUUUAAACUUGUUUUUACCAUUACAAAAAUUUCUAUCUUUUAUGAUGUAUAUGGAUAUAACUUUAAUAUUUAUCAUAUAAAACCUCUUUCAGUGGCUUAUCCCCACAAUCUUUAGCAUUCACAAAUUCUGUAAUCCCAAACUUUUUUCCUACAUGGUUCAGAAAUCAAACACAUCAGCGUAGAAAUCAUAAAACCCAUGUCGGCCAUUACUUCUUGAAAACAUUAACUCACCAAUUUCGUGUUUUUCUGGAUUCAUAUCAACGCCUGUAAACCUCGUAGCACCACGUAGUCGUGCUCCCUUUGCAACCUAGAAAUUACCUCUCAUAACGUAAAACUUUUUUUAUCGUAUCACAUGCAAGUGUGGAAUUUUGAAGAAAUAUAUACAUGAAUUGUUUGUAAUUGUUCAAAAAGAAAAUUUUGCUAGACAAUACCGCUAGUCCAAUUGACCCGAGCCCGAAUAUAACCACAGUUGAUCCCGCCUUCGCCUUUGCUGCUUUCCAAGCUGCACCUACCCCUAUUAUACAUAUAUAAAUUUAGUCGUAGUUUUUUGUUUACUUAAGCAGACUUUCAGAAGAUGAUAAUAUUAAAUGUCAGUACCUCUUGAAACCCCACAACUGAAAAGAUAUGCUAAGCUUGGAGGAAUUACAUCUUCACUAUCUGGGUUUUAUCUGUUACAGUAUAUUCACUAAAAACUUGAUACAUUAAGGAAGUGAAACAAAGUCUCUCCUUUGAGGUCUGUAAACCUACAAGAUUCAUAUCCAGGCAUCCAAGGAGAAAUUCUAAAUGGGAAUUUAAAGACAAACAUUGUUUUUCUUUAAUAUGCAGUUUUCACAUCCUCCACAAGCAGAUAUGAAUACUGGGAUAACAGUAUCUCCUUCAGCCACCUCAUUUACAUGGUCUCCAACACUGUCCACAACCCUACAACACAUUUAAUUCAUAGUAAAUUCAAGUACGUUGAUGUUAGACUAAUGGAGAAAUAAUAUUAAUAAUGAUAUUGAAAAUUCCAAGUUUAUUUGAGAAUACACGAUGAACAUAAGACAAGUACGAGUGCAAAAUCUUAUUAUUUUAACUAAUAAUUUAUACAUCAUUUAAUUUGUUAAGAAAAAAAUUAUAGAAGACCGACGUAGAGAGUACCAAAUUGAGGAACUUAAAAAGAGAAAACGCCUAAGGUGUUUUCUAAGACACUAAAGAACAUUAUAACAAAAUUUUAUGGUGGACCACGAUAAUGGAGGGUUCAAGGCAAAUAUCACACUUAUCAUCUCCCAUUAACACUCAUUUCUUGUCUCUAACAUUAGAUUUUUUAGUGAAGAGUUUUCUUUUUUUGAAUGUUUAAAUAUCUACUAUAAUAUAGUAAUGUUAAAGUUGCUCGCCCGAUAGCUUCGUGGCCCAGAAUUCUUGGAAAGCAAGCAGGAGGAAUCUUCAACCGGGUAUCACACAGACAAGAAGCAAACGAACAAAAGCAACUCUUUUAAGUCCAUAACAAUACACUGUACAUAAUAGAUAUAAAAUUAUUCUUUUUCAAAGAAGAAGAAAAGAGAAAGAGAUGGAAAGAGGACCGUCAACUUCCAAAAGGUAAGAUCGGUGUGGCAGAGAGCGGUGCAGAUGAUCCGAAUCCGGACCUCACGAGGACUUGGUGGAGCCACCACGAUGUCCUCUAUGACCAGAGGCUCCCUUGCUUCCCGACAAACCGCAGCUGCAUGUAGUCGGAAAGCCAAAGUUUUGACCUUUUAAAAUCAAUAAACCUACGAGGCAACAAAUUCAGACCAGACCAUACCUUUGCAUCGUAUCGGCUUCCCUGAUGUUUCCCUCGGGUCCAUGAUGAAAACCAGGUAUACCGAAGCUGUUAAUAUAUUAUGUAGAGAUGGAUUUGAUCAGCGUGAGUGGUGGAAGAUAAACAAGAUCGUCCCAGAAUCUAUAGAUGCACGGUUUCUUUUCUAGUCAGAAGAGUCUGAGUGCAUUGGGAAUCAACCAAUUAUGGGUUUUUUGUUAUUACCGAAUACUAUUUUCUUAAUUCAUACGUAUAUAUCUGUUUGUAAUAAAUGCCUUCACAUUAAUCAUCUUAAUAUAGUUGAUUAAUAAGUUGAUAUCGCGUUGUAUAGAUUACGCUACAGUUCCAGCUUUUCCCAUACCUGGACUGAACCUAGACAACCUUUGUACAAGCAGUUAAUACGGUGUAAUCUAACCAGAUAAAUGCAAAGUAAUUAAGGAAUCAGAAUACUGGCAAUGCUGCGGAUUAUUUACCCAAAUGAGCAGAUUAAAGCAUUUGUAGAAACCUAUAUUUGUUAUAAAUAUAUGAUAAUUUCUAAAAUGGUAAAUUUGGGUAAUAAAAUCAUAUAAGCACAAUUAAGGGAAGUGCAAAUGAGGAAUCGAUUCAAGAUCUUAUCAGAAAAAAGACUUCACAAGCUGAUAACACCAAGAAUAUAACACAAGCUUAGAUUCUUAAGUGUAGUUUCAUAAUUCUGCCUCCUUGACAUUUUUAAAGCUAACUUUAUAGCUCAUUCUAGCCUUCAUCAAGGUGUUAGACAUAACCGUUCAAUCAAAAAUAACACGAAUCCAAACAAAGGGUUCGAGGUAAAUCAAGCUCGAGCCAAUUAACGAUUGUGUAGGGUACCGGACCGACAACAUUCGGUCGAUAUUCUUUAGCACCUCAACUCAAGAAAAUCGUUGUAAAAAAAUAAAUAAAUAAAAGUUCUAAAAUCAAACAAAAAUGAUAUAAAAAUAUUAUGCUGCAAGAAUAAGCAUAAAUAUAUGUGAUUUAUUUUUUAAUUUUUUUUCUUAAUAUAAAUUCAUACAUUUUAUUGAAAUUAAAAAUAAUAAAUUCUCCUGAUAAGCACAAAUAAAACAUAAUAGUUUAAUAUUUAAACUCAUAUCUUUAUUAAGAUAUGUAGAAAGUAACAAAUGGUUGAUAAGAAUAAAUUUUUUAUAAUUUUUCAUCCAAAAAAAAAAAACAAAAAUUAAUUAAUAUUAUAACAAAGGCGCAACACGAAGAUCUCGUCCAAUGUGCUCAGAGAAUCUCGCUCGCUGCAGGUGGAGAAGGUGAAGGUGAAGGUUUAAAAGCAAUUGCUACGGAGACUUCUGUAAUUGCCUCCUUCUCUUUUUGUAGGUUUCCAUUAAUACUGCAGCUCGGUGUCCGAAGAUCAUCUUCAGAUUUGCUUUUGUAAGUUAACGAGCCACACAGUAGUACUCAGACUGCUUCAAAUCUUAGUUAUUAAGAAUUUACUUGAUUUUUUUCUUAAACAAGGACAAGAUAAAAUGGUUAUUUUAUUUGAAUUAACAACGUUUAUGGCAGUUGAUCCAUUUUGUAGGCAUCCUCAAGUGGGCUGAAGCAAACAAAAUCAUAAGAUUAAUUUCUCGGGGGCUCGCGGAUCGGCCCGGCCAUCACCGAUGCUUAUUUUAGUACCAUAUCCGGAUAAAUAUAAGCAGAGUAAUGUUUGACAGCUUUGCUGUUUGGUGUACCAUAUAUAUAUAUAUAUAUAUAUAUAUAUGGACCCCCUCUCCACUCCCCUCUUACGCCCUCACCUGCUUUCAGUCGUUCUUGGCUUCUAGUAAUAUUCUUCGAUUAAUCUAGAUUCAUUUCCCGUCUUCUUUCGUCAUGGAUUCCGGCAAUCUCUCAAGCAAAACCGCAGGCAAACCCAUUCGAUGUAAAGGUAAGUUCACCUUAUCCCGUCGAUUUAUCUCAAAAAUGCUCUCUCUCGUUUUUUACCUCUUGAAUCCAGAGCCAUGGAAUUUGACCAAGUUUAAUUUUCAUUUCGCCGUGAACAAACUGUAGCCGCCGUUUGUCGCAAAGCAGGGGAGCCUCUGGUCAUCGAGGAAAUCAUCGUGGCUCCGCCGAGUCCUCAUGAGGUUCGCCUCCGGAUCAUCUGCACCACUCUCUGCCACAGCGAUCUCACCUUUUGGAAACUGACGGUCUUCUCUCUCUCUUUUUAUCUCUUCAUUAUUUCUUUAUCUGUUUAUAUACGUGCAUAUAUUACAUAUACAUAUAUAUAUAUAUAGAGAGAGAGAGAGAGAGAGAAUGAGUUGUAUGAUCUGGAUUGAAGAGUUAUUAUUUUCUGCGGGAUCCAUGAUUUGCAGGUUCCUCCUGCUUACUUUCCACGAAUUCUGGGCCAUGAAGCUAUCGGGUAAAAGCCAGUCCCUUCCAUUCUUCUUUUCCGCUACAUGUGUUCUAAAUUGUUAAAACGUAUUCUCAAACAAAACUUGUUAUUAAAAAUUAUUAAUACUAUUUAAUUUACUUAAUUAUGUUCUAUAAUCAGUACUAAAUUUUAAAUAAUUAUCAUAAUUAUUUAAAUAAUAUUAAAUACUUUGUAAUUUUAUAAUCGUUGCAAUUAUUGGUAAUAUAUUUAUUUCGAUUUAAUGUGUUUAUUUAAUGAAAAUAUUAAUUUUUUUUUUUUUAAAGCAUUCCAAGUGAUACACCUUGCAAGAUAUGAACAAAGAGGGCAAGAUAUUAAUGUUAAAAUUUAUUUUCUACAACAAUCUCGUUUUCAUUAAUGGAUUUGCUGAAGAAUCCCUCCAAGAAUCGCCUGACGCCAUUAAGAUAAAGACCCAUCUUGAUUUUUUCUUUCAAUUUAAUGUAGUUCGUCUAUCCUUUUCUCUCCCUCUCUCUCUCUCUCUCUCUCUCUCUCUCUCUCUCUCUCUCUAUAUAUAUAUAUAUAUAUAUAUGACAGAUCUGUUUACAGUAUGAAAUGACAAAUUAAAUAUUAAUUAAAUUAUUAAAUAGUCCUGCAUGCCUGCAGUAUGCAUAUCUGUAGGAUUUGAAUCAAGGCAAUUGUUAUUUUUAUCUUCUUCCUGGUGGAGUUUUCUUUUGUCUCGAGCUUACUGGUAUACUCCCCAAUAGAUGUUGUAAUUAUGUUAUAAUUAGUGAUAUAAUUGUUAGUGUUAUUCUUCGUUACUUGAGGGUUAAAUAUGUUUCAGGGUUGUGGAGAGUGUGGGAGACAACGUAGAUGAAGUGGCAGAGGGAGAUACUGUCAUUCCAAUAUUCAUCUCUGAUUGUGGAGAAUGUGAAGAUUGCACGUCAAAGAAAAGUAAUCUUUGUUCUAAAUUCCCUUUUGAAGUGUCUCCUUGGAUGCCUAGAUACGACUCCACUAGGUUUACAGAUCUCGAAGGAGAUGUUUUGUUUCACUUUCUCAAUGUGUCGAGUUUUAGUGAGUAUACUGUGGUAGACAAAACUCACGUCGUAAAGAUUGAUCCCACCAUCCCUCCAAACAGAGCAUGUCUUCUUAGUUGUGGAGUUUCUACUGGUAAACCAUUAAGUUUAUCAUCUCUAAAAAUUUUAUAUAAUUUACUAGUAAGUACUGAUAAAUAAAUAUGUACAUAUACAUAUAUAUGUGUGUAAAAUUUGAGAUGAUAUAGGGGUUGGUGCGGCUCUGAGAACAGCAGAUGUUGAGGCAGGAUCAACUGUUGUUAUUUUUGGAUUAGGGUCAAUUGGAUUAGCGGUAUUGUAUCGUACUAAUUUCUUUCCAAAAAUUCAUAUUCAUCGUGAUAUAUUGAAAUGCUUUUUAUGUUGUGAGAGAGUUUUUCAGGUUGCAGAAGGAGCACGUUUAUCUGGUGCUACGAGAAUAAUAGGUGUUGAUGUAAAUCCAGAAAAAUUUGAAACUGGUGACUUGACUUCGUUUUCUCUUUGUGACUUUUUUUUUUUCUUUGUUUUUUUUUUGGUCUUGAUGAUAUCUACUGCUCAAUUUUGCUGACAUUCUUCAUCUUUCACUUCCUGCAGGAAAAAUAUUUGGGGUUACAGAAUUUAUCAAUGCUAGUGAUUGUAGAGAUAAGUCUGUGAAAGAGGUUUUUUCUCUACUGUUAUAUUGGCAUUAAAUUGUAUGUCAUUAAGUGAUUAAAAAAAAAAAAUUGUAUGAUUGAAAAGAAUUUUUGGUUUUGGUUUGUUGACUUGAGUAGGUGAUCAUGGAGAUGACUGGUGGUCAAGGUGCAGAUUAUUGCUUUGAAUGUGUUGGCUUGGCAUCUUUGGUACAUGAAGCAUUUGCUUGCUCCAGAAAGGUCUAUCUAAUGCAUUCUUUGUGUGCAUAUGGGUAUCAUAAAUAAUGCUGGAUUCAUCUAUCUUAGACAUAUUAGGAUGCGGGUUGAAUCAAUUUACACGAUGCAUGUUAUUAGAAGAUGAAUUUAUAGUCGUGUAGCACUCCCGAUCUUUUAAGAUAAGAUUGUGGAAUACAAACAACUACGAGUAACUAACGUGAAAUUAAUUUUAAUUACUUCCUUAAAAGAUAAAUUUUCUUAAGUCUAACUCGUGAUAUAAUUAGUGUUUGCGUUGUGAAAUGGGCAAUUAAAAUUCUCUUUGUGUCAUAGUUGAGAGUUAGACUAGAAACAUAAGAAAGAAUGUAAAGGGAGAAAAAAACCAAAAGAGGUAAUUGAAAUUUCUCUUAUCUUAUUUUGAUGAUUAAAGAACAAAUGAAUAACAAAUCCAACACGUGGUCUUAGGCCUUAGAGUCAAAUCUUGCUUUCAAUUCGGAAUAGAGAGAUACAAUUGUAAUUUUUUCAAAUUAACAGGUAUAAUCUUAAUUAGUCUUAAAAUUCAAAGUAGUCAAUAAAGUGUGUUUUCUCUUGUGAAAUAUUAAGAAUAAUUGUAAUAUUUGGGUGAGUUGUAAAAUUUUCAACUAUUGGAUAAUGAUAAUUGUCAUGUAAGCAUGUGGUAUAACAUGUUCAAUUUUUUUUUUCUCUGUUUAUCAUUUUUUAUUUUCUUUACAUUACUGAUCUUCUAGCUUAUUCAACUUUCUAUCCGAUUGAAUAGUUAAUAAGAUCAUCGUAUCUAUAUUUAAGUGUAUAUGUGAUGUUUUAAGUAAAAUAAUGACAGUUGUUUAUCAUAAAUUUUUAUGAUUCAGGGUUGGGGAAAGACAAUUGUAGUGGGUGUGGAUAAACCCGGGUCACAGUUAAGCUUAAGCUCUUAUGAUGUUCUUCAUUAUGGGAAAACCUUAACAGGAUCUUUAUUUGGAGGUCUUAAACCUAAAUAUGAUAUUCCUAUUCUUCUAAACCGUUAUGUAAAUAAGGUAAUUUUUUUUUUCAAUUCUUGAGUUUUUUAUUUAUUUUUGUUUUCUCUCGUUGAUAAAAUAACAUAUCUUCAUUAACUAACAAAUUUAGAUUUAUUCAGUAUACAAAGAUAUUCUAUUUUUUUCCUUUACACUACACAUAUGUUUAUACAUAAAAGUAUGUAUGUUAGUAUUUGAAGUUGACACUUAAAAAAUAAUAAAAAUAAUUUUUAAAAAAUAUAAAAAAUAAUAUUACUAAAAUUUACUAUUAUUUUUAAUUUUUUUAAAGAAUUGUCAGUUACAAAAUCGACACUGCAAUAUGUAUAUAAACUUUAAACAUUAAAAGAUUUAUUAUGUACUAAUUAUAAUAUAUAUUAUUAAUAUAGUGACAAAUUAUUUUUAAUUUAAAUUAAAUAGUGAGAGUAAUUAACUGAAUGAUACGUUGUGAUGACGAUUAUCUAUAUAAAUAUGUAUUAAUUAUAUUUUGGUGGUUAUUUUAGGAGUUACAACUUGACAAGUUCGUUACACACGAGAUGAAAUUUGAAGAUAUCAACAAAGCAUUUGAUUUGCUUAUUGAAGGAAAGUGUAUUCGAUGUGUGCUUUGGAUGGAGAAAAGUUGAUAGAACUAUUACAAUUAGCACAUGUUUAAGAGUUUGAAAUAAACCACGUGGGUUUCACAUGUUGAAUUCUCUUUCUUGUUAUAAUUGACGACUUAAAAUAAUAUGAUAAAUAUCUUAUUUGCCACAUUUGGGGUACAAAAAUUAUCAUCAUAAUAUUUUCUUUAUUCAUUUUAAUUAAGUAUACAAAUUUUUUUUUGUGUGUAUUAUUAUCGAGUGAUAAAAUUAUAUAUAGCAAUUAAAAAUGCUUAUAUGUAAUUUUAGAUAAUCAUUGCACGAAUGGUUAAUAUUGAAAGUGAAUAUGAAGAUCAAGUUGAUACUGGUUACUAAAAGUUAUUUGAUGAGUAGAAAUAACUUAUCAGACUUCAAAAUUAAAUAUAUACUGUAAAUAUAAAAUGAAACUAAUCGAAUGUAAAUUUAUAUAAUCUUUACAUAUUUAGUAUCGACGUACGUGAAAUAAUAAGUAUUUGAAAAUUUAUAAAUAUUGAACUAUAGCAAUUAAAUAGAAAAAGUGUCGAAAAGAAAAAAAAAAAAAAGUAAAAUUAGGAAAAAGGUUAAGAUGAUUAUGAAAAAGGAAACUUAUAUUGUAAUAAUAUAAUCAAAGAUCCUAAAAUAAUAAUUUUUGAUUAAUUUCACAUUAUUGCAUUAUACAGUUAGUUUACCUAAACGUACACAUUCUACUUUGACUUACUUUCUUACAUAAUUUUUUAUAAUUUUACUUUCAACGACUAGUUUAAUCAAAUAAAAAAUUAUAAUUUUUAAAAUAACAAUUUUUAUACAGCUAUUUCUAUUAAACACGUAAUAAUUUUUUAUUAAAAGUGAUUUUACUUAAUAAUUAUUUUAUCAACACUUUUAUAACUCACAAUUAAAUAUAAAAUUAUGCUAAACACACCUUAAGUUAUAUAAGGAUAUUAAAGUAAUUAAAUCUUAAUCAUUACAAAAUACUAUAUAUGGAGUUAUUAUCUUUAAAAGAAGAGGUUAAAAAUUUGAGUCAGAAAUUAAGUGAACUCUGUCAAAAUAGAUAUUUAUUUGUCUUGUAUAAAAAAAAAAUAAUUAGUAAACAAACAACGAUCAUUCUAAAUAUUCGAAAAAUAUUUCAAUCAUCUAAAAUUAUAACUCAUAUUUAAAAUGAUUCAUAUAUCUCGUGUUGUAAUUUAUAUAUAGUUUAAAAAUAUUAUAAAAUUAAUAAUUAUUUAUUGAUUGAUGGAAUACUAUAAGUGAUAUAUGUUUAUUACUAUCGAUUAAUAGAAUAAUUAUCAUUAACUUUAAAAUAUUUUAAAGUUUUACUUUUUUAAUUUUACGUCAAGUUAUAAUUUAAAUUUUUGUAAUUCAUUCGUGGAUAAGUGAAACACAAAUUUUAUAGUUGUAGAAUCGAAUGCAAAAGUGAAGUUAGUUUAUUUAUAUAUUAAUGUAAAUGUUAUAAUUAAUUUUUUUCAUAUCAAAUAAUUAAAAUUGAAAAUUUAAUGAGAAUUAAAUGAGUUGGGACCAAAUAUAAAGAAGGGAGAAGCACGACUUAGCGUCAAAACGACGUCGCUGCAGGGAUUUCCUUCCUGCGAAAAUAAAAAGAAGGGAAAAGCACGACUGGGCGUCAAAACGACGUCGCUGCAGGGAUAUGAAAAGAAGGGAGAAGCACGACUUAGCGUCAAAACGACGUCGCUGCAGGGAUAUGAAAAGAAGGGAGAAGCACGACUUAGCGUCAAAACGACGUCGCUGCAGAGAUAUGAAAAGAAGGGAGAAGCACGACUUAGCGUCAAAACGAUGCCGCUGCAGGGAUUUCCUUCCUGAGCAAAUAACGCAAGGCAUACUGCAUCUAGAUUCUUCUCCGGCAUUGUAGAAUACAUAUCACAAAACAGCUACUUGAUCCGCUCGAACCCUGCGCGAAUCCAAGCAGACCUAUUUACACGCUCCGUACACUCUUUUUCCAUAUAUUUUCUUUACCAUUUUUCACUGUGCAGCGAUCAAAUCGAAGGUCGAAGCCGCUCUGUGCCUUAAAUCUUCUCUCUGCGAUUCCAGGUUUUUGCACCGGAAGCUUUCGUUUCUUUUGUAUUUUCCAUUUAACUGGUUAUCAAUCAUGCCUAAAAGCCCAAAUGAAACUUGUUUUCCUUUUCUUUUUGUUGAUCAGUAUCGUGUAUCUGAAUUUGUUACCCUUUGACUAAGAGUUGUCAAUCUUGAUUCUGGACCUUGUUUGAUUAUUUAAGCCUUCUAAUCGGAGGAUAAAUCUGUUUUUUUUUUCUCAUGAAUAGAAGAUCAGUAUUGGGUAUUAUUUUAUUAGGGUGCGUGUUAGUGUUUUCCCUGAUUAGCAGCCGUUUGGUUCCCUUUGAAGUUGUUGGGAUGGGCGUUAGUGUCCAUUUCUACAUUUGAUUUUGUACAUUACAUGUGGUGAUUUGGCGCUCACAUUUUUUGGUUUUGUUUAUAUAUGCACUUUUGGGGAAAAAGAAGAAAGGAAAUCCCCAAGAUCAGGGGCUCUCUGAACAAUGAAUAACAUUUGAACAGGAGAUUUGGCUGUGGGGAUAGAGGCAUUUGUUCAAUCAAACUAGAAGCAGUCUGCAACCUUAGUUACUUUCGUGAAAAUGGUACUUGUGGGGAUGUCUUUUGAGGAAAAUGAAAGUUUUAAUGCUGAUGUAUUGGCUUUCAGCUGAUUCCAUGUUUUGAUAAUAUAAUGCAAGAUUAUUUCUUUCUGGAAUCAUGGUUUUCUUUUGGGGGGACCGGUUUGGGGGGAAAGAGAAUGAGAAGAGAGGGGGGGGGGGGGGGGGUUUGGAUGCAUACUGUUUAAAGUGGGUAAGACAAGCUACAUGUAGUAGAAUGAUAAUUUGAUGGUUUAAAUCAUAAGAUUUACAAUCUUUACAGCCUCUCUUAUUUGGCUGUAGUUUGACCUUGUUUGUUCAUGAAAAAGUUUUGACUUUCCUUCAGAAAAAUUGCUCUUACAUUUGAUAGGUAAAUAAAUUUUCAGGUGGAAGCAUUGCAUUAUUUAAACACCAUUUUUCAUUUUCUCCAAUCUUUAUCUAAAUGGAAUUUUGUCUGGUCAUAUAGCUUAUGUUAUAUGUAAAACAUGUGUUCAAAUUGAAAAUGAAAAUAGUGUUAAAAAAAUCAUGAUAAAAAUGUAGAAAGAGUUUGAAAAGAACCCAAAGAUUUUGAUCCUUUCCGAAAAUUCUUUUUAUUUAUACUUGAAUACUACUUACACUCACCAGUAUAUGUUUUUAUUAUGGAUGUAUAUGUGUUUGGAGAAUAAAAAAGAGAAAAUAAUUUCAUAUACCAAAAAAGCCUGUUAGUAACUGGAAUAUUUCUUAUCUCAUAUACAAGCAUAUGGAAGUAACUUUUAAUUCAAAUUAGAUAUAUGGUGUUUACCCCCCUUUUGUCCUAACAUACUCGUUGCUAACAUAUGUAUCUGAGCAGUUUCUAUUACUUUGAUCUUGUUCUUUGUUUCUAGGUUUUGGUGUCAUUAAAACAUCAUGGGGGACACGUGCCAUGAUGAAGGUUCUAGCAGCUGCAAUCGUUCUGGAGAGAGUUCCAAUUCAGUUGUUGAGCUCAAUAUCAAGACUCUGGAUUCACAGAUUUAUAGCUUUCAAGUAGAAAAAAAUGUAAGCAGUAAUAUUCUGUAAUAAUAUUUGUUAUUUGCUUUUGGUCACUCUAUUAAUCCAUUUCCUUGUUCAUUUAUUUUUUUUAUUCACUGAUAUUUGCAUUUCAUUUAUAUGUCAUUGUUGAUUUAUGUGGUAACAAUGAGAGAUCAGCAAUGGUGGAUUCAACAAAUUGUUUUAAGCUGAGCCAUUGGUGCAGUUUCAUGUGGAAUUUAAAAAAAAUCUCUACUGUUUUGGCUGAAAAUUGUGCUAACCUGAUUAUAUCUGAUAUUUUUUGGUAUUCAAAAUAAUUGCAGAUUCCAGUUUCAUUGUUCAAGGAGAAAAUAGCCAGCAAAAUUGGCAUCCCAGUCAGUCAACAGCGGCUGAUUUUCCGCGGAAAGGUCUUAAAGGAUGAUCAGCCACUUUCUGAAUACCGUAUCCUAUCUUUCUACUAAUUAGGACUUUAGUGAUUUUGCAUUUUGUUUAUCUGUACUAGUUACUGUUUAGAAACGGUAAUCUAAAUGUUACUAUUUGUGUUUUGCACUAAAGAAUGUGAUAUUGGUUAGAGAAAACAUAUAAUAUGGCAUAAUAUCGGUGAUCUAUGGCUAUUAUCUGAAACAUAGUAUUGGCUGUAAGAGUGUCACAUACUUGAAACUCUUCAGUUUGUCAUUCCCCAGACAUCUAUUUGCAGUUUGAUAUGCAUUUAUUCAUGCAGGCAAACUUGGUUGGCCCAUGAAAAUUUAAAAGAAAACACAAGGCAUGGUAGGACCCAUUGACAUGACUCCUUUGCAAGUUUUGCUGUGAAGAAUUUUGUAGUAUCAGUAAAUAGCUCUUAUCUAAAAGAGUGUGUUACUUAUACCUGUCCCAUAUUAGUAAAUUGAAUAUUAAAUCUUAAAUAUUUGAAUCAUUGGCUGGACUGAAUUGGCUGCCUUAAUCUGGUUUCUUUUGGUGGAUAUGCAGCUCAUUCCAUAGAAAAUGACCUAGUUAUUUUUCUCUUGUCCAUUUCUUGUUUCGUGGUGACUUGUCAUAUGUCCUGUUUCUAUAUUUUAUUUUUAUGCCGCAAAACUCUUAACCAUCUAUAGAUGUGGAGAGUGGGCAUACAUUGCAUUUAGUUGAGAGGCAGCCAAGUCAAUCGCAGCCUUCACCCAACACAGGCUCUGGAGAAAAUGGGAGUAACGGCAAUCGAGGUUGGUUCUUAAUAUAGAUUGCCUAUGUAGUGUUUCAAGUUCUGAACAUAUUUUGAGAAGUAACAUUUAUUACUCCUAAAGGGACCAAGUAUUGAUUUUUUUAAAAAAAAUUAGCAGGAAAUGAUAAUGCUACUGGUGCUGUUCGUAAUCGUGUUGGGCAAAUUUCACACAGCGUUGUUCUCGGCACAUUUAAUGUUGGGGACCAAGGUGAAGGAAUUGUUCCAGAUGUUACAAGGGUGGGUCAUUCACUCUUUAUGUCAUGGUUCUCGUGAGCUUUAUCUUUUGUACUAUUUUUGGUUCUAAUUCUGCUUGUGGAUGAUGAUGGAAACUGAAAAAAUGUAUGUAAUGUAAAAUUCUUCAUGUUUUGCAUGCAUGGCUUGCACAGGUUAUUGGGGCUGUUUUAAAUUCUUUUGGAAUUGGCGCCCAACCAACCACAAAUAUUACCCAAGCCCCAUCUUUGGUAAGUGUUUCUCUUUUUUUCUUCCUCUUGUAUUUUUUUCGUCCUCAAUGUUCACAUAGCAGAACAUUUGAUUUUAUAUGCUGUGUGAAUUUAUUGUAAGGGUCUUCUUAUGCAAGUCUAUACUUCAGUGUAGGAUCAAUAAAAGAUAAUCUGAUUACUUAAGGAUUUAGGAUAUACCUAGAAGCUAUGCCUAAUAAUUUUUUGGAUAUCUCAAAUAAGAAAGGAAUUCGCAUUUGAUUGCAUCACACAACUAUUAAAUUUUUUUAGCAAACUUAUAAAUCAUUAUUCCCGAAUGUCGGAUCUCAAAGGUGAGAUAGCUUCUUAUAAUAUUCUCUCUCUCUCUCUCUCUCUUACNNNNNNNNNNNNNNNNNNNNNNNNNNNNNNNNNNNNNNNNNNNNNNNNNNNNNNNUCACAUGUCACAGUAAAGGUGACAUCAAAGGUAGGGGGAUGUUCACUCUCCGGUCCAAAAGGAAAUGAGAACACAUAUCUAUGGAUUUUGUAGUGGUUACCAAGGACACGAUCAAAUCAUGAUACUAUCUGGUUGUGGUAGACCGUUGACCAAAAUCUGCUCACUUUUUGGCAACAAGGAGCUCGGACUAUGUGGACAAGUUAGGCAGGCUUUACGUGAAGGAAGUGCUCCGCAUACAUGGAAUUCUUGUAUCCAUCGUAUCUAACAGAGACCUUAGAUUACCUCCAGAUUAUGAGGAAGCUUUCAGCAGGCAAUCGGCACAAACCUGAAUUUUAGUAUAGCCUUUCACCCACAAAUAGAUGGAUAGAGAGAAAGAACUAUUCAGACACUAGAAGAUAUGCUACGAAUUUGUGUACUUGAUUUCGGUGGAAAUUGGGAUGAAUUAUUGCUUCUGAUGGAAUUCUCAUAUAACAAUAGUUAUCACGCCAGCAUAGGCAUGGUCCCAUAUGAAGCCCUUUGCGGGAGAUCUUGCAAAUCGCCAAUAUACUUGGAGGAGGUUGGAGAAAGGAGACUAAUCGGAUUGGAACUAGUGGAAAAGACCACCACAAAGGUAACUAUAAUCGAGAAAAAUCUCCAGACAACACAAUGCAAACAGAAAAACUAUGCAGAUAACAGAAGAAGAGAUCUAAGAUUUGAAACCGGGGAUCAUGUAUUCCUCAAGAUGUCCCCAAUGAAAGGUUUAUUGAGGUUUGAGAAGAAAGAGAAGUUGGGCCCUCGGUUUAUAGGGCCCUUCGAGGUAUUGACAAGGGUGGGCGUAGCAGCCUACAGGCUAGCACUGCCGCCAGAGUACUCAAGCAUACACAAUGUUUUUCAUGUAUCGAUGUUACGCAGAUACCACCCGGAUCUGUCCCACAUCAUACAACAUGAGACACUAUCCCUAUAGAAGGACACGACGUACGAAGAAAGACCAGUUUGUAUACUCGAAAGACAGGAGAAGAUGCUGAGAAAUCGAACCAUACCCAUGGUGAAAGUCUUAUGGCAACAUCACCCCAAAGAAGGGGCAACUUGGGAACGAGAAGAUAUGAUGAAGAUGAACCACCCUCAACUGUUUGAACAAAUAUGAUAAUGUACCAAAUUUGGGGACAAAUUUUCUUUUAGGGGAAUAUGUUGUAACGAGGGGAAAAAUCUUAUAACCCUGGGAUUCAAGGUAGUGUAUUAGGAAUUUAUAAAUUGAGAAAAAUAUAAAUACAUAUAUAUAGAUGAAAAAAAGAAGAAUUAUUCAUUGUUCAUAUAUGCCCACUGAAUUAAUAAACUCUUAUGUGAGGGAAAUGAACGAAAAAGCCAGUGCAAAUAUGGGCAAAAAUGCAAAUUUCAGGAUUUUGCACAGGUCAGCCAAAGAAAGGUAAAAUGGACCAAUCACUGGCAGACCAGUGUACAGGCUACGUCAGAGCCUGCAAUUUUAGGCAGGAAUGGUCCAGAUUUUGCCAUAUGGACCUGAGGUGGCGCAAGGAACGGUUCUAGAGAGGAAAAUGAGAUAGACGGCCCAAAUUGAGUGUAACAUUCCAAGGCACUGAUCAUUUUUCCCUUCACCAUAAAAGGGGGGCAUUGAGUUGCAGAGAAAGGAAGAAAAAAAUUGGGAACUCGCCUGGUGAAAACAAAGGGGGAUUUACAAACGGUUCAAGCUGCAGGAGAGCCAGCUUGGGAAGAAAAAGUUGAUCGACUCAACGCCGUCGCUGCGAACAAGGGUAAGUUCCAUUUGUUUUUCACAUCUUGAAAUAGAAAUUUAAAUACUAAAUUUCUUUGAAAAUAGAAAUGAUUAUGGUGUUGUUGAAAGAGAUUUUAGGUAGAUUUGGAUGAGGGAAUCUAUCAAGGGAGUUAAAGGCAUCAUCGGAGGUGAAAUCCUGGAAAGAUAUGGAGAGGGGAGAUCUAUCCAGGAAAAUCGAAGGAGUAAUGGGAUGAGGUAAGAAAAAGAGAAUUGAGGGGAGUUGUUUAGAGUGAGGAGGAGGAACAAAUGAGAGAAAGGGAUCAGCGGACAAGGAAGAAAAUAGAGGGACACCUGCAGUGAGAGUGCUACCUAUUAUUAUUCUGGAUAUAUAAAUAUAUAUAUACUCACAUUUCUGUAUUUAGCGAUAAAUGUUUCUCUUAAGUGUUUGGUGUGCUCUCGUGACGGAAGGAAGUAUAUAUAAAUUGGCCCAGUUACUGUAUCGAGGGGCCCCGAGGGUGUAUUUUGGCAUUAAGAUACCGUUUGGGAAUGGUCUGAAUAUACAUAUAUAUUGGUGUUACUGUUCUGUGAUGCUGAGAAGAAAAGCGAAUAGAGUUCUGCUGUGGCCCAGUUAUUGGGUCGAAGGGUUGAUGGGGAACUGAUUGUGUUCCGUGAUGAGCUUCUAUGUGAGGCAUAAAUUGUUUAGCUGUGGCCCUUUUAAGGGUGCCCCGGAAUUUGUUUACAUAUUUUAUUUUUGUUCAGAUAUAUAUGUAUAUAUAUAUAUUGACUUGCUGUAAGCAAUGGAGGUGCAAGCAUUCGGGUCCUGAAUGCUGUAGAGUUCUGGAAGAAUACUGCAUGGGUGAGUCAGGUUUGUGACAAGAGAUGAUAUAAAUAAAUCAGAGGAAGAGUUGAAGGGUUAUGGUGAGAAAAUGAUACUGGCAAGAGUUAGAGACGACAGGAGAAAUUGGGUAGAAAUUAGCUGUUUAGGCUGGAGAGGGACUGAACAGAGGGCAGUACUGAGAGUUGAUGAUUUAAUUUUUUUCCCUUCUUGGUAGGCUGUGCGGAGAAAAAAAAAGGAUAGCAGGGGGUAUACUGAUGGGAAUUAACCCAAAUAUUGAUGAUAAAAAAUAACAGCAAAUUGAAUAAAUAAGAAAGGGAAGUAGAAAUAGAGGUGGAACAGAAAGGGAUACUGGGCAGGGGUUUUGGGAGAAAUUAGGAAAUAUCUAGGAGGGGGAAAUAUGUGAUCAGAAUAUAGGCAGAUGAUACAGACAGUGAUAGGGUUGGAGAAGAGGAAGCUGAUAGGUUGUAUGAUACCCAGUACCGGAAAUUUAGUUUUAAAUGUUUCUAUUUACUUGGGUGUGAAUUUCAAAUUUUACUUCUUGGGCAUUGUAGCUUAUUAUGUAGUUUAUUACAGAACAGGUGAAGCUGGAACAGGAACCGGAAGUGCAAGAAGCGUGCCUCCAGACUUGAGAAUGGAUAGGACGUACAACAUUGUAACUAUCGCUGACUUCGAAUGUAGUGAGAAACUGUAUCAGCAUUGUUCUAGAUAUAUAUGUCCCACCCAGGAAAUUGAAUUACUAUUUACUUUCAUUAUAAUUAUUUGGUGACCUAGUAUAGUGGCUGCAGGUGGUAUAGUUGAGAUGGUAAAUACAUGAAUAUAUAUGGACAUGUAUACAUGGGUUUCAUAUAGAAUGAAAAUGCAUGCAGAUUGAGGUUUUGUGAUGGAAUGCUUUACGAACUGUUCAGGAUGUGAAUAAGCCUUUCAGGUUGAUUGAUAGAAUAACUGGCUCAGAAGCUGGGUUGUUACAGUAAAGGAGAUAAUGGGUUUCCAUGCCUGAGAUCGUUUUGGAAAUCUGACACCCUCAACCAUUCAUCCUUGAACCUAAAUGGGCAAGGUCUCAUUUGAUACUAUUAGAAUUCAAACAAAUGGAAAAAUGGUCCGAGAUCAUGCACUAGAGAUGUCUCUGGAUUAGCCUUGUAGUCUGAGAUUGAAAGGAGACACAAAUUAAGAAUCAAUUUAUCUUGGAGCAAUUAGGAUGAGAUCUUUGGUUAGACCAGAUCCACCCGUGAUUUUGAGAGAGGAAAGUCUUUAAGUUCUGAUCUAUCCACAAUGUCUUGGAAUUCCUUGGCACAAACCCUUGAGAACUGCAUUCAAGAACACUCACAUAUCUUGAGAACUAUGUUAAAGUCACUCCCUACAACCUAUGGAUGAUCCCAUUUCCUCCUACAUUUCUCUAGAUCACUCCACAAUCUUUUCCUCUCUCUCUCCUCACCUCUGCCAUUAGCCCCAGUAAGUAAAUAACUAUAACGACUCCCCGUACAUUCAAGCAAGUGUGAGAUAAAGCACUCACCCAUAUCGAAGUCCUUAUAGUGAAGAGUAUUCUCAUUCCAAGGCACUACAAUUCCACCAGCCGUAAUUGCAGCAACUCUCGCCAACACACCCUAAUCUUUCAAAUACUGAGUGUCAGGCUAUCAAAGAAAGAUUCCACUUUUGUUUCUU